rnacentral:rRNA from 1 species
CUACGGGCGGCUGCAGUGGGGAAUAUUGGACAAUGGGGGAAACUCUGAUGCAGCAACGCCGCGUGGAGGAUGACACUUUUCGGAGCGUAAACUCCUUUUAUAUAGGAAGAAGAUGACGGUACUAUAUGAAUAAGCGCCGGCUAACUCCGUGCCAGCAGCCGCGGUAAUACGGAGGGCGCAAGCGUUACUCGGAAUCACUGGGCGUAAAGAGCGUGUAGGCGGAUUAAAAAGUCAGAAGUGAAAUCCUAUAGCUUAACUAUAGAACUGCUUCUGAAACUCUUAUUCUAGAAUAUGGGAGAGGUAGAUGGAAUUUCUGGUGUAGGGGUAAAAUCCGUAGAGAUCAGAAGGAAUACCGAUUGCGAAGGCGAUCUACUAGAACAUUAUUGACGCUGAGACGCGAAAGCGUGGGGAGCAAACAGGAUUAGAUACCCGCGUAGUC